UUAUGAGUGCUGUCCUCAAAUGUCUGGGUUUAGGCCCUUUCUGUUGGCCUUUCUCCAAACAAAGAGAAGAUACCAACACCCAUCAAAACCCUUCUCCUUCCACACAAGAAGAAACCCAAGAUCCCCCUUCAGUCUCCGAACGUGGAAUGAAAACUUUUGAAGAUGUUGCAGUCAAAUUCAAAGCUGAGAGAGGUAGAAGGCCCAGCCAGCCACCAAUAAACAAUGGAGGAGACCCUCAACACCACUAAUUAACCUUCCCCUUUUAAGUCUUAAACCUUCCUUUCUUCUACUUUUAUAGCUCUGUAACUUUCA